rnacentral:lncRNA from 1 species
GCGCCAACAAAUUCCGUAGCGCUGUACAAUGGGUGGACUAACAGACACAUAAUUGAGAUCAGACCACUGACGUACAGGAACAGAGGGGGUUGAGGACCCUGCUCGAUGAGCUUACAUGCUAGAGGGAGUGUUAAAGUAGGGGAAUUAAAUAGUUUGUUACAGAAGGGUUUAUUGAGUGCUUGGUAGGUCAUUUUUGACCGUUGCAGGAAAGGAGUCAUGGGGUGGGGGAUGAGAAACCUGCUGACAGUUCAAUUGAUACGCUUUAAUGAAGAAGUAAGUUUUCAAAGAUUUUUUGAAGGAGUGGAGGCUGGGUGAAAGUCUGAUUGAGGAGGGAAGGGAGUUCCACAGAAUAGGUGCAGCCCUGGAGAAGUCUUGAAGGCGAGCAUCAGAGGUGGGGAUCCGGGCAGAGGAUAGGCGUCUUGGGCUGAGCGCAGGGGUCUCGACGGGACAUACUUGUGUAUGAGGGAGGAUAGGUAUGUUGGAGCAGCAUUAUGUAGGGAUUUGUAAGCAAGCGCCAGAAUUUUGAAUUGGGCCCUAUAUCUAACUGGAAGCCAAUACAGGGACUGACAGAGCGUGGAGGCGUGGGAGGUGCGACCGGACAGGAAAAUAAGAAAACAUCAGAAUAAUAAAAAACUGCAAAAACAGCAUUAACAUUAAAAUAUAGAAAAUAUGUAAAUUGCUGUGGCAUUGUCUGUAUUCAGUCUAUAUAGAAAGCAGUUCCACUUGAAUAACAUGCAGAAUACGACUCACUGCUGGUCAGCUGUGCUCAGAUUCAACUGGCAGUCGUCAAGAUGCUUCAAUUUGCGCUGAAACUGCUGCAGAUCAUACAGGGGAGAAUGUAUUUCUUACAAUCAGAGUUAUUCAGGAAUUGUAAUAAAUUGGCUUUGGAAUGAUAGACUAUCUGGAGAAAUAACUAAGCUGUAGAAUGCUGCCAAUUUGGCUAUUAUAGGGUACAUUUAGCAAUUUUCUUGUAAAUUAUUUACAGGAUAAAAAAACGUUGUAGCAUGUACAGAACUAUUUGACUUUCUACAAAGCAGAUCUAACCAGACCGGUACAGAUUUGUGGAUUAUUAAAUAUAUCAAUGACAAUUUUCGGUCUGAUGAUUUAUUUUUAUAUUUAGCAUUUACCUUUUUUUCAUGCAGACAGGAAUGCUAUAUUAAAUCUUUAUACCAUACAAAACAUUUUAGACACAUGUAUGCACGUGUGCAUUCACACACACACACACUCAAAGACAAACAUAUUCUCAUGUACACAGUGCUACAGUGUUACCAACAUGUAGAACCUCCUUCCAGAUAAACAAAUAUGCAUAACCUCAGACACACUCUCACUGAUGCACAUCACCGACACAGAGAUACAUAUUUAUUUACACGUACACACAAACAAAAUCACAUUACCAGACACACACACAGAUACACACUACCAGUUUCUCUCAAAACACAUACACACAUGUACACAUUGCUAAACACACACACAGAUAGCUAGACACACACGUACACAUUGCUAGACACAAACAAUGAUACACACUAUUAGAUACACUGCAGGCAAACACACACUGUCUGAUGCACACACUGACUUAUAUACUCAACAGGGACCUAUUAUCCGCGAGGCAAACAAGGCAAAAAACGCCGCCCCCAAAUGCCCAGGGCAAAUGCCUAGUUAGCCUCAUGGCUAACUGACAUGCUAGGCUGGCGGGCGGCGCUUGGCUGGCGGCUAGCGAGGGAGCUCUUCCUCUGAGCGGUC